UGAAAAUAAGAAUAUCAUCUACUAUAAGUUAUGACAGCAUAGUUGAUGGACCAGGAUUAAGAAUGGUAAUAUGGACUCAAGGAUGUAUUCAUAAUUGUAAAGAGUGCCAUAAUCCUCAGACACAUGAUUUAUGUGGAGGAUUUUAUAUGGAUACAGAAGAAAUUAUAAAUAAAGUCAAAUCAUUGAAAUUACAAAAAGGCAUUACGCUAUCAGGAGGAGAACCAUUUUUACAACCAGAACCAUUAGAAGAAAUAGCAAGAGAAGCUAAAAUAAAUGGGUUAGAUGUAUGGUCAUAUACUGGAUUUACGUUUGAACAACUGUUAGAUAAAAAAAAUAGAGCGUAUUUUAAAAAUUUAAAUUUACUAAAGCAAAUUGAUAUUUUAGUGGAUGGAAAAUUUAUAACUGAAAAAAAAGAUAUAAGCUUAAAGUUUAGAGGGUCAUCAAAUCAAAGGAUAAUUGAUGUUCAAAAAAGUUUGAAAUAUAAAAAAGUGUUUUUGGUUGAGCAAUAUAUGAAGGAUGAUUUAUCUAUAGCAGAAUAAAAUAUAAAUAAACAGGAUUAAAUAUAUGCAUAUAUUUAAUCCUGUUUAUUUUCAUAUAAUAUUUCAAGCUUGUAUAAUGUAACAAUUAAACCAAAAGACUCAUUGUAUAUUUGAAAUUAAGUUUUUUAUAGUUUAUAGGUGUUUUAUGUGGAUUACGAAUGAUAUAGUAUUGAUACAUUAUUUAAUAGAUUCUUAUGUCAAGAAACAAUUAAUUUAUAGAAAUUCUUAAUUGUUACAAUAUAAAUAUCUAGAUAAGUUAUAAGAUACUGAUAAAUAAUUUAUAAAGUUUAUUAAUCUAAUAUUGUGUGUGAAUAUUAAGUAGUCAAGUAGUCUAAAAAAUGAAAAAGAUUUAAAAAAGUGCUUUAACUAAACACAUAAGUGUUAAAUUCAUGUAUAAGUAUAGGUUAGAUACAUAAGAAAUAAUUAUGCAAUAUCUAUCUUUGUAAAAAAAUAUUAAAUUUUGUAAUUUGUGGAUAAAUAUGUUUAUAAUGUGGAUAAUAUUUAAUGUAAUAAGUUAAAGCAAUAUGAAUCAACUGUUUAUAAUGUGGAUAAUAUUAUAAAUGUAUGAAUAAUUGCAGUAUUUAAAAACAAAAAAAGUUAAAAAAGUUGUUGACUCUAAAAGAAAAAGUUGGUAUAGUAAUACUUGUCCUCAAGAAAAGGGCAAACAAAUAAAGCAUAAAGAACUUUGAAAAUUAAACAGUAGGUUAAUUUAUAAAACAAGAAACAAACCAUAAAGCCAGAUAUUUUGAUAACAAUAGUAUCUGAGCCUGAUAAACUUUUAUUUGAGAGUUUGAUCCUGGCUCAGGAUGAACGCUGGCGGCGUGCCUAACACAUGCAAGUUGAGCGAUUUACUUCGGUAAAGAGCGGCGGACGGGUGAGUAACGCGUGGGUAACCUACCCUGUACACACGGAUAACAUACCGAAAGGUAUGCUAAUACGGGAUAAUAUAUUUGAGAGGCAUCUCUUAAAUAUCAAAGGUGAGCCAGUACAGGAUGGACCCGCGUCUGAUUAGCUAGUUGGUAAGGUAACGGCUUACCAAGGCGACGAUCAGUAGCCGACCUGAGAGGGUGAUCGGCCACAUUGGAACUGAGACACGGUCCAAACUCCUACGGGAGGCAGCAGUGGGGAAUAUUGCACAAUGGGCGAAAGCCUGAUGCAGCAACGCCGCGUGAGUGAUGAAGGCCUUCGGGUCGUAAAACUCUGUCCUCAAGGAAGAUAAUGACGGUACUUGAGGAGGAAGCCCCGGCUAACUACGUGCCAGCAGCCGCGGUAAUACGUAGGGGGCUAGCGUUAUCCGGAUUUACUGGGCGUAAAGGGUGCGUAGGCGGUCUUUCAAGUCAGGAGUGAAAGGCUACGGCUCAACCGUAGUAAGCUCUUGAAACUGGGAGACUUGAGUGCAGGAGAGGAGAGUGGAAUUCCUAGUGUAGCGGUGAAAUGCGUAGAUAUUAGGAGGAACACCAGUUGCGAAGGCGGCUCUCUGGACUGUAACUGACGCUGAGGCACGAAAGCGUGGGGAGCAAACAGGAUUAGAUACCCUGGUAGUCCACGCUGUAAACGAUGAGUACUAGGUGUCGGGGGUUACCCCCUCGGUGCCGCAGCUAACGCAUUAAGUACUCCGCCUGGGAAGUACGCUCGCAAGAGUGAAACUCAAAGGAAUUGACGGGGACCCGCACAAGUAGCGGAGCAUGUGGUUUAAUUCGAAGCAACGCGAAGAACCUUACCUAAGCUUGACAUCCCAAUGACAUCUCCUUAAUCGGAGAGUUCCCUUCGGGGACAUUGGUGACAGGUGGUGCAUGGUUGUCGUCAGCUCGUGUCGUGAGAUGUUGGGUUAAGUCCCGCAACGAGCGCAACCCUUGUCUUUAGUUGCCAUCAUUAAGUUGGGCACUCUAGAGAGACUGCCAGGGAUAACCUGGAGGAAGGUGGGGAUGACGUCAAAUCAUCAUGCCCCUUAUGCUUAGGGCUACACACGUGCUACAAUGGGUAGUACAGAGGGUUGCCAAGCCGUAAGGUGGAGCUAAUCCCUUAAAGCUACUCUCAGUUCGGAUUGUAGGCUGAAACUCGCCUACAUGAAGCUGGAGUUACUAGUAAUCGCAGAUCAGAAUGCUGCGGUGAAUGCGUUCCCGGGUCUUGUACACACCGCCCGUCACACCACGGGAGUUGGAGACGCCCGAAGCCGAUUAUCUAACCUUUUGGAAGAAGUCGUCGAAGGUGGAAUCAAUAACUGGGGUGAAGUCGUAACAAGGUAGCCGUAUCGGAAGGUGCGGCUGGAUCACCUCCUUUCUAAGGAGAAUUACCUACUGUUUAAUUUUGAGGGUUCGUUUUUACGAAUACUCAAAAUUAGCACUUUAAGCAACAGAAUAAACUGAACGCAUGUGAAG
rnacentral:rRNA from 1 species